rnacentral:rRNA from 1 species
GACGAACGCUGGCGGCGUGCCUAAUACAUGCAAGUAGAACGCACAGUUUAUACCGUAGCUUGCUACACCAUAGACUGUGAGUUGCGAACGGGUGAGUAACGCGUAGGUAACCUGCCUGGUAGCGGGGGAUAACUAUUGGAAACGAUAGCUAAUACCGCAUAAUAUUGAUUAUUGCAUGAUAAUUGAUUGAAAGAUGCUAUUGCAUCACUACCAGAUGGACCUGCGUUGUAUUAGCUAGUAGGUGAGGUAACGGCUCACCUAGGCGACGAUACAUAGCCGACCUGAGAGGGUGAUCGGCCACACUGGGACUGAGACACGGCCCAGACGCCUACGGGAGGCAGCAGUAGGGAAUCUUCGGCAAUGGACGAAAGUCUGACCGAGCAACGCCGCGUGAGUGAAGAAGGUUGUCGGAUCGUAAAGCUCGGUUGUAAGAGAAGAACGGGUGUGAGAGUGGAAAGUUCACACUGUGACGGUAGCUGACCAGAAAGGGACGGCUAACUACGUG